AAUGAACGUUGGCGGCGUGGAUUAGGCAUGCAAGUCGAGCGAUAACCGUAGCAAUACGGGGACAGCGGCGAAAGGGAGAGUAACGCGUGGAUAAUCUACUCCCGGGACUGGGAUAGCCGCGGGAAACUGCGGGUAAUACCGGAUAAUGCCUUCGGACCAAGGAUGCGAUUCCGCCCGGGGAUGAGUCCGCGUCCUAUUAGCUAGGUGGUGGGGUAAUGGCCUACCAAGGCGAAGAUGGGUACGGGGUGUGAGAGCAUGCCCCCGCUCACUGAGACUGAGACACUGCCCAGACACCUACGGGUGGCUGCAGUCGAGAAUCUUCGGCAAUGGGCGCAAGCCUGACCGAGCGACGCCGCGUGCGGGAUGAAGGCCUUCGGGUUGUAAACCGCUGUCGGAGGGGAGGAAAUGCACGGGGGUUCUCCCUCGUGUUUGACCUAGCCUCAGAGGAAGGACGGGCUAAGUUCGUGCCAGCAGCCGCGGUAA
rnacentral:rRNA from 1 species